rnacentral:rRNA from 1 species
UGGCGGCGUGGAUAAGACAUGCAAGUCGCACGGGAUUGAUUGAGUAGUAAUACGAGAUCAGUCUAGUGGCGCACGGGUGAGUAACAUGUGAAUUACAUGCCCUUCAGUGGGGAAUAGCCCAGGGAAACUUGGAUUAAUACCCCAUGGUAUCGCAAGAUUAAAGGUGGCCAGCAAUGGCUGUCGCUGAAGGAUUGGUUCGCACCCUAUCAGCUUGUUGGCGGGGUAAUGGCCCACCAAGGCUACGACGGGUACCUGGUCUGAGAGGACGAUCAGGCACACUGGAACUGAGACACGGUCCAGACACCUACGGGUGGCAGCAGUCGAGAAUAAUUCACAAUGGGGGCAACCCUGAUGGUGCAACGCCGCGUGGAGGAUGACGGUCUUCGGAUUGUAAACUCCUGUCAUCUGGGAGUAAGACCUGGCGAUGAAUAGUCGACAGGGUUGAUAGUACCAGAAGAGGAAGGGACGGCUAACUUCGUGCCAGCAGCCGCGGUAAUACGAAGGUCCCAAGCGUUGUUCGGAAUCACUGGGCGUAAAGGGAGCGUAGGCGGCGUGGUAAGUCAGAUGUGAAAUCCCGGGGCUCAACCCCGGAACUGCAUCCGAUACUGCCAUGCUAGAGGAUUGGAGAGGUAGCUGGAAUUCUUGGUGUAGCAGUGAAAUGCGUAGAGAUCAAGAGGAACACUCGUGGCGAAAGCGAGCUACUGGACAAUUCCUGACGCUGAGGCUCGAAGGCUAGGGUAGCGAAAGGGAUUAGAUACCCCUGUAGUCCUAGCAGUAAACGGUGCACGCUUGGUGUGAGGGGAAUCGACCCCCCUUGUGCCGGAGCUAACGCGUUAAGCGUGCCGCCUGGGAAGUACGGUCGCAAGACUAAAACUCAAAGAAAUUGACGGGGACCCGCACAAGCGGUGGANUAUGUGGCUUAANUUCGAUGCAACGCG